UACGUAGGGUGCGAGCGUUGUCCGGAAUUAUUGGGCGUAAAGAGCUUGUAGGCCGUCUGUCGCGUCUGCUGUGAAAAUCCGGGGCUCAACCCCGGACUUGCAGUGGGUACGGGCAGACUAGAGUGUGGUAGGGGAGACUGGAAUUCCUGGUGUAGCGGUGAAGUGCGCAGAUAUCAGGAGGAACACCGAUGGCGAAGGCAGGUCUCUGGGCCGAUACUGACGCUGAGGAGCGAAAGCGUGGGGAGCGAACAGG
rnacentral:rRNA from 1 species